CUUGCACUAGUUGAAGUCAGUGAAGAAGGCUCUCUAACACGACACCAGGAGCUCUUUGUGAAAAGUCUCGCUUCGCUUGAAGUCCUCUACACCCUUGGCCAUAGCCUUAGUAAAACGAUGCUCAACGGCCAUAGCCUCAUCAGCCAACCAAGAUUAAGCUACCCUCACCUAGGUUGUCUCUUUCUUUGCCUAGGCAGCAGCUUUCUCGACCCAUCCCACU
rnacentral:lncRNA from 1 species